GACAGAGGUGCCAAGCGUUAGGCGGAAUCACUGGGCUUAAAGCGUGUGUAGGCGGAUUGGUAAGUACCUUGUGAAAUCCCACAGCUCAACUGUGGAACUGCUCGGUAUACUGCUUAUCUUGAGCCACUUAGGGGCUGUCGGAACAAAUGGUGGAGCGGUGAAAUGCGUAGAUAUCAUUUGGAACGCCAAAGGUGAAACAGACAGCUGGGAGUGUGCUGACGCUG
rnacentral:rRNA from 1 species